rnacentral:rRNA from 1 species
AUCUGUUUCCAUACCACCCUGAAUGAGCCCAAUCUUGUCUGAUCUCAAAAGCUAAGCAGGAUCGGGCCUGGUUAGUACUUGGAUGGGAGUAAAUUUUCAUGUGUUGCUGAAGAUUCCUGAGAAUCUGGUU